GGGCGACUAGCUCAGGUGGUAGAGCAGCUGACUCUUAAUCAGCGGGUCGUAGGUUCGAGUCCUACGUCGCCCACCA
rnacentral:tRNA from 1 species